GUGCUCGCUUCAGCAGCACAUACACUAAAAUUGGAAUGAUACAGAGAAGAUUAGCAUGGCCCCUGUGCAAGGAAGACAUGCAAAUUUGUGAAGCGUUCCAUAUUUUU